rnacentral:tRNA from 1 species
AAAGGUUUAGUUAAAAUAUAAAAUAAUAUUAAUUUGUCAAAUUAAAGUUAGAUUAAGUAGAUCUAAUCUUUA